rnacentral:rRNA from 1 species
AGUGGCGGACGGGUGAGUAACGCGUGAGAAUCUGCCUUCAGGUCGGGGACAACAGUUGGAAACGACUGCUAAUACCCGGUGUGCAGCAAUGUGAAAGAUUUAUUGCCUGAAGAUGAGCUCGCGUCUGAUUAGCUAGUAGGUGUGGUAAUGGCGCACCUAGGCGACGAUCAGUAACUGGUCUGAGAGGAUGACCAGUCACACUGGGACUGAGACACGGCCCAGACUCCUACGGGAGGCAGCAGUGGGGAAUUUUCCGCAAUGGGCGAAAGCCUGACGGAGCAAUACCGCGUGAGGGACGACGGCUUUUGGGUUGUAAACCUCUUUUCCCUGGGAAGAAGAUCUGACGGUACCAGGGGAAUCAGCAUCGGCUAACUUCGUGCCAGCAGCCGCGGUAAUACGAGGGAUGCAAGCGUUAUCCGGAAUUAUUGGGCGUAAAGCGUCCGCAGGUGGCUCUGUAAGUCUGUCGUUAAAGAAUGGAGCUUAACUCCAUACAGGCGAUGGAAACUACAAGGCUAGAGUUUGGUAGGGGUCACGGGAAUUCUUAGUGUAGCGGUGAAAUGCGUAGAUAUUAAGAAGAACACCAGCGGCGAAAGCGCGUGACUGGGCCAGUACUGACACUCAUGGACGAAAGCUAGGGGAGCGAAAGGGAUUAGAUACCCCUGUAGUCCUAGCCGUAAACGAUGAUAACUAGGUGUUGCUC